CCCCCAACAUAGAUUCAGCGCUCAGAAAGCGUUAAAGGGAAAUGGGAAUAUUGCUGAGGAUGACCUGAGCAGAAGAAGAUAAGCCUCUUCCAAAGACUCUGGCUUUGACGUUUCUGUCCUUGAGCCCAAAGUUCCUUGGCCAGGCCUGGUGGAGGAGGGGCAGAUUCUUCUGUCUUUGGCUCCAGCUCAGUCCGCACUCCUCAUGAGAAUUUAAUGACCUCGUACCCUGAUGGAAAUCUCUUCUUUCACGGCUGGAGCUGCAAGAUUUCAACAACAUGAAGGAGCCAGCCUGCACUGAGAAAAGCACCAAGAGUCAGGCCUGUGUAUUUAGAGUGUCAGGAAAAGAGCUUUUCCAGGGUCCGUGUGGUUCUACACUUGUGCUUCAUUAUCUGCCCCACCCUUGAAGGCACUGAGCUUAAGAAUGAUGAUCCAGAGUGAGAACCUAGACAAGGCCUUAAACGUGCGAUGGAAUGCACAAAUAGUGCUCAGGCCUGUGUGCCACAUCCUCUUGGACAGAAAAGCAUUCACAAUAAGGUCCUUAUCUUCAGGGCCCCCAGAAUCCCAGGGGAGAUGGGGGACAUGGAUACAAAGAGAUAACCAACGAUGCAAUGGCUGGAGCCCACGAUAAAGCACAGGGCUAUUUUCUGUAGGCUGCAAAGGACAAGAAAUGACUUCUAGGACUUCCUCGGCAAUCCAGCAGUUAAGACUCUGCUUCCUUUGUAGGGAGCACAGACAGGUUCAAUCCCUGGUCAGGAAACUAGAUGCCCUAUGCUGCAAUUAAGAGUUCACGUGUCACAACUAAAGAUCCCGACGCCGCAGUGAAGAUUGAGGAUGCCGAGUGCUGCAACUAAGACCUGGUGCGACCAAAUAAAUAAUUUUUUUUAAGAAAUAA
rnacentral:lncRNA from 1 species